AGUCGAACGAGAAUCUACUGAAAGAGUUUUCGGACAGUGGAAGUAGAGGAAAGUGGCGGACGGGUGAGUAACGCGUGAGGAACCUGCCUUGGAGAGGGGGACAACAGUUGGAAACGACUGCUAAUACCGCAUGAAGCAUAGGGGUCGCAUGAUCUUUAUGCCAAAGAUUUAUCGCUUCAAGAUGGCCUCGCGUCUGAUUAGCUAGUUGGCGGGGUAACGGCCCACCAAGGCGACGAUCAGUAGCCGGACUGAGAGGUUGAACGGCCACAUUGGGACUGAGAUACGGCCCAGACUCCUACGGGAGGCAGCAGUGGGGAAUAUUGGGCAAUGGGCGCAAGCCUGACCCAGCAACGCCGCGUGAAGGAAGAAGGCUUUCGGGUUGUAAACUUCUUUUAAGAGGGAAGAGCAGAAGACGGUACCUUUAGAAUAAGCCACGGCUAACUACGUGCCAGCAGCCGCGGUAAUACGUAGGUGGCAAGCGUUGUCCGGAUUUACUGGGUGUAAAGGGCGUGCAGCCGGGUCUGCAAGUCAGAUGUGAAAUCCAUGGGCUCAACCCAUGAACUGCAUUUGAAACUGUAGAUCUUGAGUGUCGGAGGGGCAAUCGGAAUUCCUAGUGUAGCGGUGAAAUGCGUAGAUAUUAGGAGGAACACCAGUGGCGAAGGCGGAUUGCUGGACGAUAACUGACGGUGAGGCGCGAAAGUGUGGGGAGCAAACAGGAUUAGAUACCCUGGUAGUCCACACUGUAAACGAUGAAUACUAGGUGUGCGGGGACUGACCCCCUGCGUGCCGCAGUAAACACAAUAAGUAUUCCACCUGGGGAGUACGAUCGCA
rnacentral:rRNA from 1 species